AUUUUCCAAAGAGGAAAACCAACAAAUCCCCUCAUUCUCUCUUCCACACCCGAUUCCCUUUCCUUCUCUUCACUUUGAGCUCUCUCCCUCCUCACUCCACUGCAACGCAGCACCACCGUGUUGCACCGCGCCGCGCCACCGCGCCGCAGCUCCUAUGCCUUCCCUUUUUCGCGGAUCGCCAUCUAUGUAGUUGUUGUUGGUGAUACCUUGCUUCUCUCUCCUCCGUGCCCUCGCCUCUUCUCGUAUGUGCAUGUGCCGCCGUCGACGGUGGUCGACAUAACCAUCAUCUAUGCCCCAUCAUCAAACGCCACCACUGUCGCCUCCCCUUCGCUGCUGCAUGUGGCAACCCUGCUUACCCCGCUGCCGUCGCUGUUGUUGUUAUUGUGUUCCUGAUCUUGCUAUUGCUAAAUACCCUUCUUGCUCUUCCAUUUAAAUUUGAGGAGUUAAAAUGUUUUGCAGGUAGCAAGAGUCAGGUCUCAGUUCAGAUUCAAGGUUCGUAGAGUUUUCCAAUGGCCUUAUGUGUCCAAAUUUGGAUUAUGGAUUCGCCAAAUGUAAUUUAGUUUCCUAGGGUUUGUUAAUGGGAUGUAUAAUUUCUUCUUUAAGCUUUUGUUUUAUAAUUUAUGGAUUAUAUAUUUGUAUUGGAGUCGUAAUUAAGUUGAGUUUCUUUGGUUUAAA